AACGAACGCUGGCGGCAUGCCUAACACAUGCAAGUCGAACGAGACCUUCGGGUCUAGUGGCGCACGGGUGCGUAACACGUGGGAAUUUGCCUCGGGUAUGGAAUAACUCAGGGAAACUUGAGCUAAUACCAUAUAAUGUCUUCGGACCAAAGAUUUAUCGCCCUGAGAUAAGCCCGCGUAGGAUUAGCUAGUUGUGGGUAAAGGCUCACCAAGGCGACGAUCCUUAGCUGGUCUGAGAGGAUGAUCAGCCACACUGGGACUGAGACACGGCCCAGACUCCUACGGAGGCAGCAGUGGGGAAUAUUGGACAAUGGGCGAAGCCUGAU
rnacentral:rRNA from 1 species